CACUCCUGCGGGAGGCAGCAGUGGGGAAUAUUGCACAAUGGGCGCAAGCCUGAUGCAGCCAUGCCGCGUGUAUGAAGAAGGCCUUCGGGUUGUAAAGUACUUUCAGCGGGGAGGAAGGCAAUACGGUUAAUAACCGUGUUGAUUGACGUUACCCGCAGAAGAAGCACCGGCUAACUCCGUGCCAGCAGCCGCGGUAAUACGGAGGGUGCAAGCGUUAAUCGGAAUUACUGGGCGUAAAGCGCACGCAGGCGGUCUGUCAAGUCGGAUGUGAAAUCCCCGGGCUCAACCUGGGAACUGCAUUCGAAACUGGCAGGCUUGAGUCUUGUAGAGGGGGGUAGAAUUCCAGGUGUAGCGGUGAAAUGCGUAGAGAUCUGGAGGAAUACCGGUGGCGAAGGCGGCCCCCUGGACAAAGACUGACGCUCAGGUGCGAAAGCGUGGGGAGCAAACAGGAUUAGAAACCCUUGUAGUCCCAUGA
rnacentral:rRNA from 1 species